CAAAUAAAGACUACAAAUAAUGGAAAAUCCAUUAAAAAACAUGUUCUUUUUAAAUAGGAAAAGACUUGGAUACUGCUCUCUGGUAAAACACUGUGUAUUGAAAAAGUAACGUUAAAAACAUUUAUCGAUUAGAUAUAGCCCAUAUCUGGAGGAAAAACCUUUAUAUUGUAGCAAGCACUUCGAACACCUGAUGCUGGACACCACUGCUCGCUGCUCUCUAUAAAGUCACUGGUGAGGACAAGCUCUUACGAGGAUCUCCUGCAAAGUACCAC